rnacentral:rRNA from 1 species
UGGCUCAGGACGAACGCUGGCGGCGUGCUUAACACAUGCAAGUCGAACGAUGAAGGAGGAGCUUGCUCCUCUGGAUUAGUGGCGAACGGGUGAGUAACACGUGAGCAAUGUGCCCUUGACUCUGGAAUAAGCGCUGGAAACGGCGUCUAAUACCGGAUACGACCUUCGGAGGCAUCUCCUGGGGGUGGAAAGAAUUUCGGUCAAGGAUCAGCUCACGGCCUAUCAGUUAGUUGGUGAGGUAAUGGCUCACCAAGACGACGACGGGUAGCCGGCCUGAGAGGGUGACCGGCCACACUGGGACUGAGACACGGCCCAGACUCCUACGGGAGGCAGCAGUGGGGAAUAUUGCACAAUGGGCGCAAGCCUGAUGCAGCAACGCCGCGUGAGGGACGACGGCCUUCGGGUUGUAAACCUCUUUUAGCAGGGAAGAAGCGAGAGUGAC